AUUGAACGCUGGCGGCAGGCUUAACACAUGCAAGUCGAGCGGGGGAAGGUAGCUUGCUACUGGACCUAGCGGCGGACGGGUGAGUAAUGCUUAGGAAUCUGCCUAUUAGUGGGGGACAACAUCUCGAAAGGGAUGCUAAUACCGCAUACGUCCUACGGGAGAAAGCAGGGGAUCUUCGGACCUUGCGCUAAUAGAUGAGCCUAAGUCGGAUUGCUAGUUGGUGGGGUAAAGGCCUACCAAGGCGACGAUCUGUAGCGGGUCUGAGCGGAUGAUCCGCCACACUGGGACCGGGACACGGCCCAGACUCCUACGGGAGGCAGCAGUGGGGAAUAUUGGACAAUGGGGGGAACCCUGAUCCAGCCAUGCCGCGUGUGUGAAGAAGGCCUUAUGGUUGUAAAGCACUUUAAGCGAGGAGGAGGCUACUUUAGUUAAUACCUAGAGAUAGUGGACGUUACUCGCAGAAUAAGCACCGGCUAACUCUGUGCCAGCCGCCGCCGUAA
rnacentral:rRNA from 1 species